rnacentral:lncRNA from 1 species
AGGAGAUUGGAGCAUAUUUAAAUAUUAAUGGAAAGAAUGCAAUUAAAAGAAGUUUUAUGUGAGAGAAACAAAGAAUGCCUAGCAAGGUCUUUUAGAAGAUUGAAGGAGUGAGAAUGUAAAAUGAAGAUAGAAGAAACAAUACUUUUUUUAUACCUGCCAAUUUAUGAACAUAUUAAUUAGUGAUUUGUCUAAAGCACAAAACAGCUUGUGUUUUCCCACUUUUAGUUUUGUGACAUUUGGCAAAUGACUUAAAUUUGUCAUGUUACUCUUUCUGCAGUGACAAGAUAUAGCUCAUAGGUUUAUUGUUAGGAUUAAAUGCGUUGGUACAUAAUGAAAAUUCAGAAAAGUUCUAGGCACAGAGUGAGAAACCGGUAAAUUAUCAGAUUUUUUAUAGCAAUUUUAAAAUUGUAUGGAAAUGUUCUGCAUAAUUGUUUUGUCUAGGUUACAGAUGGCUCUAGGAUAAAGGACAAAUGUACCUCUAAAGCCGAGCUUACCAAUGUAUAUCUGGUGUUCAGAAUUUAAAUGAGUUUUGCAAUCUGCAGUGCCAGAAUUUCCAGAGCCUUCUUGCUCAGAUGCCAUCUUUUUGUAUGCCAUUUCGAAGAGUUUCAGUGAUGCCUGCUGAAGAGAGGAUGCUGCUUGUCCAAUGUUUUCUCCCGUUUCGCUAUCUUUUCUAGCCAGAAGCCCCUUCAUUUUGGAAAUCUCUUCUUUUAGCUUUUGCACUUAACAGCAGUGUGGUGAGGAGAAAGGAAGUGCCAGAUUUAUCCCAUGAUCUGAAAUUCGACCACAUAUGAGCAACUGUAUAUGAGAAAGAGCUACUAAGUAAGACAUUCUGUUUCCUGGUGAGGAAGGAGAGAGUAAUGACCAAACCAUGCUCCUGGUGUUAUAUACCCAGUCAUUCAACAAGACCUCCCAACUAGAGCAAAAUGGAAAAAGGUUCUCCAGAUCAUUACUCUGCCUCUGAUUGUUGCAUUCUACGACAUACAGGGAUAUUCAUUGCUUAAAAAGAUAAAAAUUAUUUCCUUGAUUUGUGAGUAUAAACUUCAGUUCAAAGAUCUAUUGUUAUAUUUGACUUGCUUUUUGGCACUUGCACAAACUAUAUUUUUCUGAUUAGAAAAAGCAGCAUUCACCUGAAUCUGCAGAGACAGCCAUUGCUGACAGUGGUCAAACACUGAUAACUUGAGGAUAAUUUUGUCUAUUGUUUUGAAACCAUUUGAAAUAUUUUCUUGCAUCUUCCUUUUCCUUUUUUUGGUAAUCUUGUUACUUUUUUUUAAAUGAACUUUAAAAAUAGUGUCUACAAUUUUCCUUUCCUAUAAUCUACAAACUUAUUUUGG